rnacentral:tRNA from 1 species
GCCGGGGUGGCAGAGCGGACUAAUCCAACGGAGCCGUUAGACUCCAUGGAGUCUAUAUGCGGCAGGCUCGAGACCUGUUGUAUCGUAAGGUACACUUGGGUUCGAAUCCCAACCCCGGCG